ACCAGACUCCUACGGGAGGCAGCAGUGGGGAAUAUUGCACAAUGGGGGGAACCCUGAUGCAGCGACGCCGCGUGGGUGAGGAAGUACUUCGGUAUGUAAAGCCCUAUCAGCAGGGAAGAAAAUGACGGUACCUGACUAAGAAGCCCCGGCUAACUACGUGCCAGCAGCCGCGGUAAUACGUAGGGGGCAAGCGUUAUCCGGAUUUACUGGGUGUAAAGGGAGCGUAGACGGUAAUGCAAGUCUGGAGUGAAAGGCGGGGGCCCAACCCCCGGACUGCUCUGGAAACUGUGUAACUGGAGUGCAGGAGAGGCAGGCGGAAUUCCUAGUGUAGCGGUGAAAUGCGUAGAUAUUAGGAGGAACACCAGUGGCGAAGGCGGCCUGCUGGACUGUAACUGACGUUGAGGCUCGAAAGCGUGGGGAGCAAACAGGAUUAGAUACCCGAGUACUC
rnacentral:rRNA from 1 species